GAUGAACGCUGGCGGCGUGCCUAAUACAUGCAAGUCGAGCGAACGGACGAGAAGCUUGCUUUUCUGAUGUUAGCGGCGGACGGGUGAGUAACACGUGGAUAACCUACCUAUAAGACUGGGAUAACUUCGGGAAACCGGAGCUAAUACCGGAUAAUAUUUUGAACCGCAUGGUUCAAAAGUGAAAGACGGUCUUGCUGUCACUUAUAGAUGGAUCCGCGCUGCAUUGGCUAGUUGGUAAGGUAACGGCUUACCAAGGCAACGAUGCAUAGCCGACCUGAGAGGGUGAUCGGCCACACUGGAACUGAGACACGGUCCAGACUCCUACGGGAGGCAGCAGUAGGGAAUCUUCCGCAAUGGGCGAAAGCCUGACGGAGCAACGCCGCGUGAGUGAUGAAGGUCUUCGGAUCGUAAAACUCUGUUAUUAGGGAAGAACAUAUGUGUAAGUAACUGUGCACAUCUGGACGGUACCUAAUCAGAAAGCCACGGCUAACUACGU
rnacentral:rRNA from 1 species